UUUCCCUACGGAGUGCUCAGGUCCGCCGCAUCUCCUGGGUCCGUGGGGCAGGCCGGCGCGAAAGCAAGUCGAAGAGUGGCCUCCUCGAAUGCUUGCCUUCCGCCGGCCUCCUA
rnacentral:sRNA from 19 species